rnacentral:rRNA from 1 species
AGAGCGAACGCUGGCGGCAGGCUUAACACAUGCAAGUCGAGCGGGCCCUUCGGGGUCAGCGGCAGACGGGUGAGUAACACGUGGGAACGUACCCUUUGGUUCGGAAUAACGCUGGGAAACUAGCGCUAAUACCGGAUACGCCCUUUUGGGGAAAGGCUUGCUGCCGAAGGAUCGGCCCGCGUCUGAUUAGCUAGUUGGUGGGGUAAUGGCCUACCAAGGCGACGAUCAGUAGCUGGUCUGAGAGGAUGAUCAGCCACACUGGGACUGAGACACGGCCCAGACUCCUACGGGAGGCAGCAGUGGGGGAAUAUUGGACAAUGGGCGCAAGCCUGAUCCAGCCAUGCCGCGUGAGUGAUGAAGGCCUUAGGGUGUAAAGCCCUUUGUCCGGGACGAUAAUGACGGUACCGGAAGAAUAAGCCCCGGACUAACUCGUGCCAGCAGCCGC